GGAAAGAUGGCUGAGCUGGUCUAAGGCGCACGACUGGAAAUCGUGUGUACGUUAAUAGCGUACCGAGGGUUCGAAUCCCUCUCUUUCCG
rnacentral:tRNA from 1 species